CCAGACUCCUACGGGAGGCAGCAGUGGGGAAUAUUGCACAAUGGGGGAAACCCUGAUGCAGCGACGCCGCGUGAGCGAAGAAGUAUUUCGGUAUGUAAAGCUCUAUCAGCAGGGAAGAAAUUGACGGUACCUGAGUAAGAAGCUCCGGCUAAAUACGUGCCAGCAGCCGCGGUAAUACGUAUGGAGCAAGCGUUAUCCGGAUUUACUGGGUGUAAAGGGAGCGUAGACGGCCAUGCAAGCCAGGGGUGAAAGCCCGGGGCCCAACCCCGGGACUGCCCUUGGAACUGCAUGGCUGGAGUGCGGGAGGGGCAGGCGGAAUUCCUGGUGUAGCGGUGAAAUGCGUAGAUAUUAGGAGGAACACCAGUGGCGAAGGCGGCUUACUGGACUGUAACUGACGUUGAGGCUCGAAAGCGUGGGGAGCAAACAGGAUUAGAUACCCCCGUA
rnacentral:rRNA from 1 species